rnacentral:rRNA from 1 species
UACGUAGGCAGCGAGCGUUGUUCGGAAUUACUGGGCGUAAAGAGUGUGUAGGCGGUGUUCCAAGUUCGGUGUGAAAUCUCCCGGCUUAACUGGGAGGGUGCGCCGAAAACUGGGAGGCUAGAGUACUGGAUGGGAGAGUGGAAUUCCUGGUGUAGCGGUGAAAUGCGUAGAUAUCAGGAGGAACACCGGUGGUGUAGACGGCUCUCUGGACAGUAACUGACGCUGAGACACGAAAGCGUGGGUAGCAAACAGG